rnacentral:misc_RNA from 1 species
AACGCAAAUUGCGCUUUCGGGAUAGGCCUGGAAGCACGUGUCUUUGAGCAUCGAUUCUAACAACUCUCAGUGAUGCUUUUGUGCAAACAAAAGCCCACUGGACUCUGAGUCUUCUUGUGCUUUAAGCGCAAGUUACUUUAAAAGGUGUGAGUUGUACUUUUGCAAGACGGAUCGACUAGUUCGUAGCCGUGAUUGUGUCGCACUGGCCGCACCGCUAGUGACGUGGAUAAUUUCACUUUAUUGUGAAUCUUCCAAAUACGUGACUAUGUCGGAUAGUGGCUAGAAGUGUUGCACUGUCAUGUGCGCAAACGCUUGCAAAGCAACUAAAGUCACUUCGGUGACAACAACUUUGAAUUAGAUCUCAAAUGAGACGAGAAUACCCGCCGAACUUAA